GACGUAGGAGGCGAGCGUUGUCCGGAUUCAUUGGGCGUAAAGAGCUCGUAGGCGGCUUGGCAAGUCGGAUGUGAAAACUCCAGGCUCAACCUGGAGCCGCCAUUCGAUACUGCUAUGGCUAGAGUCCGGUAGGGAGUGUGGAAUUCCCGGUGUAGCGGUGAAAUGCGCAGAUAUCAGGAGGAACACCGUGGCGAAGGCGGCU
rnacentral:rRNA from 1 species